rnacentral:rRNA from 1 species
UUAAGCGACUAAGCGUACACGGUGGAUGCCCUGGCAGUCAGAGGCGAUGAAGGACGUGCUAAUCUGCGAUAAGCGUCGGUAAGGUGAUAUGAACCGUUAUAACCGGCGAUUUCCGAAUGGGGAAACCCAGUGUGAUUCGUCACACUAUCAUUAACUGAAUCCAUAGGUUAAUGAGGCGAACCGGGGGAACUGAAACAUCUAAGUACCCCGAGGAAAAGAAAUCAACCGAGAUUCCCCCAGUAGCGGCGAGCGAACGGGGAGCAGCCCAGAGCCUGAAUCAGUGUGUGUGUUAGUGGAAGCGUCUGGAAAGGCGUGCGAUACAGGGUGACAGCCCCGUACACAAAAAUGCACAUAUUGUGAGCUCGAUGAGUAGGGCGGGACACGUGGUAUCCUGUCUGAAUAUGGGGGGACCAUCCUCCAAGGCUAAAUACUCCUGACUGACCGAUAGUGAACCAGUACCGUGAGGGAAAGGCGAAAAGAACCCCGGCGAGGGGAGUGAAAAAGAACCUGAAACCGUGUACGUACAAGCAGUGGGAGCACGCUUAGGCGUGUGACUGCGUACCUUUUGUAUAAUGGGUCAGCGACUUAUAUUCUGUAGCAAGGUUAACCGAAUAGGGGAGCCGAAGGGAAACCGAGUCUUAACUGGGCGUUAAGUUGCAGGGUAUAGACCCGAAACCCGGUGAUCUAGCCAUGGGCAGGUUGAAGGUUGGGUAACACUAACUGGAGGACCGAACCGACUAAUGUUGAAAAAUUAGCGGAUGACUUGUGGCUGGGGGUGAAAGGCCAAUCAAACCGGGAGAUAGCUGGUUCUCCCCGAAAGCUAUUUAGGUAGCGCCUCGUGAAUUCAUCUCCGGGGGUAGAGCACUGUUUCGGCAAGGGGGUCAUCCCGACUUACCAACCCGAUGCAAACUGCGAAUACCGGAGAAUGUUAUCACGGGAGACACACGGCGGGUGCUAACGUCCGUCGUGAAGAGGGAAACAACCCAGACCGCCAGCUAAGGUCCCAAAGUCAUGGUUAAGUGGGAAACGAUGUGGGAAGGCCCAGACAGCCAGGAUGUUGGCUUAGAAGCAGCCAUCAUUUAAAGAAAGCGUAAUAGCUCACUGGUCGAGUCGGCCUGCGCGGAAGAUGUAACGGGGCUAAACCAUGCACCGAAGCUGCGGCAGCGACGCUGAUGCGUUGUUGGGUAGGGGAGCGUUCUGUAAGCCUGCGAAGGUGUGCUGUGAGGCAUGCUGGAGGUAUCAGAAGUGCGAAUGCUGACAUAAGUAACGAUAAAGCGGGUGAAAAGCCCGCUCGCCGGAAGACCAAGGGUUCCUGUCCAACGUUAAUCGGGGCAGGGUGAGUCGACCCCUAAGGCGAGGCCGAAAGGCGUAGUCGAUGGGAAACAGGUUAAUAUUCCUGUACUUGGUGUUACUGCGAAGGGGGGACGGAGAAGGCUAUGUUGGCCGGGCGACGGUUGUCCCGGUUUAAGCGUGUAGGCUGGUUUUCCAGGCAAAUCCGGAAAAUCAAGGCUGAGGCGUGAUGACGAGGCACUACGGUGCUGAAGCAACAAAUGCCCUGCUUCCAGGAAAAGCCUCUAAGCAUCAGGUAACAUCAAAUCGUACCCCAAACCGACACAGGUGGUCAGGUAGAGAAUACCAAGGCGCUUGAGAGAACUCGGGUGAAGGAACUAGGCAAAAUGGUGCCGUAACUUCGGGAGAAGGCACGCUGAUAUGUAGGUGAAGUCCCUCGCGGAUGGAGCUGAAAUCAGUCGAAGAUACCAGCUGGCUGCAACUGUUUAUUAAAAACACAGCACUGUGCAAACACGAAAGUGGACGUAUACGGUGUGACGCCUGCCCGGUGCCGGAAGGUUAAUUGAUGGGGUCAGCGCAAGCGAAGCUCUUGAUCGAAGCCCCGGUAAACGGCGGCCGUAACUAUAACGGUCCUAAGGUAGCGAAAUUCCUUGUCGGGUAAGUUCCGACCUGCACGAAUGGCGUAAUGAUGGCCAGGCUGUCUCCACCCGAGACUCAGUGAAAUUGAACUCGCUGUGAAGAUGCAGUGUACCCGCGGCAAGACGGAAAGACCCCGUGAACCUUUACUAUAGCUUGACACUGAACAUUGAGCCUUGAUGUGUAGGAUAGGUGGGAGGCUUUGAAGUGUGGACGCCAGUCUGCAUGGAGCCGACCUUGAAAUACCACCCUUUAAUGUUUGAUGUUCUAACGUUGACCCGUAAUCCGGGUUGCGGACAGUGUCUGGUGGGUAGUUUGACUGGGGCGGUCUCCUCCUAAAGAGUAACGGAGGAGCACGAAGGUUGGCUAAUCCUGGUCGGACAUCAGGAGGUUAGUGCAAUGGCAUAAGCCAGCUUGACUGCGAGCGUGACGGCGCGAGCAGGUGCGAAAGCAGGUCAUAGUGAUCCGGUGGUUCUGAAUGGAAGGGCCAUCGCUCAACGGAUAAAAGGUACUCCGGGGAUAACAGGCUGAUACCGCCCAAGAGUUCAUAUCGACGGCGGUGUUUGGCACCUCGAUGUCGGCUCAUCACAUCCUGGGGCUGAAGUAGGUCCCAAGGGUAUGGCUGUUCGCCAUUUAAAGUGGUACGCGAGCUGGGUUUAGAACGUCGUGAGACAGUUCGGUCCCUAUCUGCCGUGGGCGCUGGAGAAUUGAGGGGGGCUGCUCCUAGUACGAGAGGACCGGAGUGGACGCAUCACUGGUGUUCGGGUUGUCAUGCCAAUGGCACUGCCCGGUAGCUAAAUGCGGAAGAGAUAAGUGCUGAAAGCAUCUAAGCACGAAACUUGCCCCGAGAUGAGUUCUCCCUGACUCCUUGAGAGUCCUGAAGGAACGUUGAAGACGACGACGUUGAUAGGCCGGGUGUGUAAGCGCAGCGAUGCGUUGAGCUAACCGGUACUAAUGAACCGUGAGGCUUAACCU